rnacentral:rRNA from 1 species
CGUGUGCUUACAAGUAGUCAGAGCCCGUUAAUGGGUGAUGGCGUGCCUUUUGUAGAAUGAACCGGCGAGUUACGAUUUGAUGCAAGGUUAAGCAGUAAAUGUGGAGCCGUAGCGAAAGCGAGUCUGAAUAGGGCGUUUAGUAUUUGGUCGUAGACCCGAAACCAGGUGAUCUACCCUUGGUCAGGUUGAAGUUCAGGUAACACUGAAUGGAGGACCGAACCGACUUACGUUGAAAAGUGAGCGGAUGAACUGAGGGUAGCGGAGAAAUUCCAAUCGAACCUGGAGAUAGCUGGUUCUCUCCGAAAUAGCUUUAGGGCUAGCCUCAAGUGAUGAUUAUUGGAGGUAGAG